AAAAAAAAGCUGGGUUUGUGGCUUAGUGGUUAAACGCUCCUGGGUUCAAACCUGGUACCAAAAAAAGAAAAGAAAAAGAAGUGAUAGUACCUAUCAAUACCUUUCUGUGGCACUGAAAUGACAAGAUUAAUUUUUGCUUGCUCCACCCCCAAAAUGUUCUGUAUUGAGUUUGUAUUACUUUUGAAUUAGAAAGUCUACAUAAAGCUCUGGUUUAAAUAGCAUUAAACCAGGGCUGUGGCUGUGGCUCAGUGGUAGAGCACUUGCCUAGCAUGUAUGAGGCACUGGGUUCAAUCCUCAGCACUACAUAAAAGUAAAAUAAAGAUACGGUAUCUACCUAAAGCUAAAAUAUAAGUAUUUAAAAAAAAUAAAUAGCAUUAAACCAAAAUAAGUGCCCACUGACUGAAUAGCCAUUGUGUGCCCAACCUUUCUGGGGAUAAGCUACAGAUAAAAAGAAAAUAUUCAGAGUCCUUGUUCAGAGGUUUCAUAGGAUGCGCAGGGGUGGAGAAUCAGCACCUGGCUGCUUUGCAGGCACCAGGCUUCGAGCUCAGGUGCUAGAUCUGAUCAUGACUUAGCAGUAACAGUUAUACCCAUGUAUUCAGCACUUCACUCUGUGAUACUUGGUUCAAUGGGUAGUCCCAUUUCUACCUGUAAAACUUGGCCUCACAAUCCACCGAGAUGGGCAUCAUUCCUGCAGUGUCGUCCGAGUUACUAAAGGAUGUAGAAAGCUCUGGAGUCAACUGCCUGAGACCUCGGACAAGCAACUUCACCUCCUCUUCAGCUGGGUUUCCUUCCAGCUGAAGCGAUUGCCAUGAGGGUUAGACAAGGAAACAGCGCGCGGGGCCCUGUUCUCAUGCUUUAUGUGUCGACUGUGUAAUUCUCUCAAGAGUCCUAGGAAAAAGUAGGUGCCAUGCUUACCCACAUUUACAGAAGCGGAGCGAGCUCGGAGAGGUGAGGAAGCAUCUGAGGUCGCCUGGCCAUCCACUUAGUGACUGAAAAUCAAACCGAGGUCUGCUUGACCCCAAAGCCGUGGAAACUGUCCUUCCCCUCUCAUGGGUUCAAUUUUUUGAACAAGCCCUAGAAUGGAUGACAGAAGAGAGGAGGAGGAAAGAAGAAACACCGACAGGCUGAUUGACAGUUCAGGUAAGGUAGGUGGGUCUGUAAGUUUCUGGAAAGCAGAAACUAUACAAAGAAAAAUGAACUCACCUGGCACCUGUCGCAGGUCUCAAUAGCUGCUCGGUAAUAUUUGUUGAGAAAUGAAGAAUGGAUGAAAGAGCAUCACGUAUACAAGUUACUGACAUUUCAGGCAGACCUGCUGUUGCCUUCCACCCACACGGGAAGGCCUCCAACGUUUGACUCCUCUUUUAAAUAGCAUAUACCAGUGUCUUCACUCUCGAUCUGUGAUUUCACUGCUGUAAGAAGUUUCCAUCAAUCCUCAGGCCUAAGCACUAAAGGAGAUAUUGAUGUUAAACCAGUGGCAAAAAUGGGUACCCAGUGUUAUGGGUAAGCAUCCACUAGAAAGAGGUCGUCUCAGCCACUUCCUGUUCUGUGAACUCACAGCUGAGUUCAUGGCAGUAGGUACCCAACCUCCCUUAAAAACAGUCCCAUCUAUGUGUAGAGCUCAUUUCCAGGUGUCCCCUGAGCUUUAUCUCUGACCCAGCAGCCACCCUGAGAGGAUGGAGCAAGGUGUUCUGGUCCCCUUUGAGAGAGAAACCCAGAGUCCGAGAGGCUGCCCGAGUUAAGGGAAGGACUUUGAAUUAGAGCGUCAGCAUCAUCCUAGAUAUGGUGGUGGCUCUGAGGGGUCCCAGAGGCCUGUCCAGGGCUACCCCUAAAGCUCUGAGGGAGUUUCAGCACCAUCCUCGCCCGUCACUGGGAGGGUGGAGGACGUGGCCCUCCCGUGAGGUUCGGUGGGCCUGGAAGUGGUGCCCGUGCAGAGCCGGGGCAGGAGUGGGCAGCCUCUGGCCUUUUGACAGUCUGUACUUUAGAUUUUUAUCACAGUUCUGCCAGUAACACCACCUACAUUCCUUCCUAGAGGUUCCUGGAACAUGAGGACUCUGUAGGGUCUAGGGUCACCCUGAUAUCAGCCCUUAAAAUAAGAUCAAGUCUCUGAAUACCCUGAAAGUGAGCAGUUGUUUUUAUCACGUAUUCAGUUAGAUGAGCGAAAACGCUAACCCAGUACUGGCGAGGGUGAGGGGAAUGGGCUUCUCUCCUCGUUGGAAAAAAUGGACGAGUUCGAACUUCUGCU
rnacentral:tRNA from 1 species